UAGGGAAUCUUCGGCAAUGGACGAAAGUCUGACCGAGCAACGCCGCGUGAGUGAAGAAGGUUUUCGGAUCGUAAAACUCUGUUGUUAGAGAAGAACAAGGACGUUAGUAACUGAACGUCCCCUGACGGUAUCUAACCAGAAAGCCACGGCUAACUACGUGCCAGCAGCCGCGGUAAUACGUAGGUGGCAAGCGUUGUCCGGAUUUAUUGGGCGUAAAGCGAGCGCAGGCGGUUUCUUAAGUCUGAUGGGAAAGCCCCCGGCUCAACCGGGGAGGGUCAUUGGAAACUGGGAGACUUGAGUGCAGAAGAGGAGAGUGGAAUUCCAUGUGUAGCGGUGAAAUGCGAAGAUAUAUGGAGGAACACAAGUGGCGAAGGCGUCUCUCUGGUCUGUAACUGACGCUGAGGCUCGAAAGCGUGGGGAGCAAACAGG
rnacentral:rRNA from 1 species